rnacentral:rRNA from 1 species
GUGAACGUUACCAAACUGUUGCCUCGGCGGGAUCUCUGCCCCGGGUGCGUCGCAGCCCCGGACCAAGGCGCCCGCCGGAGGACCAACCAAAACUCUUAUUGUAUACCCCCUCGCGGGUUUUUUACUAUCUGAGCCAUCUCGGCGCCCCUCGUGGGCGUUUCGAAAAUGAAUCAAAACUUUCAACAACGGAUCUCUUGGUUCUGGCAUCGAUGAAGAACGCAGCGAAAUGCGAUAAGUAAUGUGAAUUGCAGAAUUCAGUGAAUCAUCGAAUCUUUGAACGCACAUUGCGCCCGCCAGUAUUCUGGCGGGCAUGCCUGUCCGAGCGUCAUUUCAACCCUCGAACCCCUCCGGGGGGUCGGCGUUGGGGAUCGGCCCUUUACGGGGCCGGCCCCGAAAUACAGUGGCGGUCUCGCCGCAGCCUCUCCUGCGCAGUAGUUUGCACACUCGCAUCGGGAGCGCGGCGCGUCCACAGCCGUUAAACACCCCAAACUUCUGAAAUGUUGACCUCGGAUCAGGUAGGAAUACCCGCUGAACUUAAGCAUAUCAAUAAGCGG